rnacentral:rRNA from 1 species
ACGAAGGGGGCUAGCGUUGUUCGGAAUCACUGGGCGUAAAGCGCACGCAGGCGGAUCGUUAAGUCAGGGGUGAAAUGCCAAGGCUCAACCUUGGAACUGCCUCUGAUACUGGCGAUCUUCGAGUCCGGGAGAGGUGAGUGGAACUCCGAGUGUAGAGGUGAAAUUCGUAGAUAUUCGGAAGAACACCAGUGGCGAAGGCGGCUCACUGGCCCGGUACUGACGCUCAGGUUCGAAAGCGUGGGGAGCAAACAGGA